GCUGGGAAAUAAGUCAGCGGUGAAAGUUCAGGGCUUAACUUUGAAAUUGCCGUUGAAACUGUUUUUCUUGAGUAUAUUGGAAGUAGGCGGAAUGUGUAGUGUAGCGGUGAAAUGCAUAGAUAUUACACAGAACCCCGAUUGCGAAGGCAGCUUACUAUACUAUUACUGACGCUGAUGCACGAAAGCGUGGGGAUCAAACAGGAUUAGAUACCCUGGUAGUCCACGCUGUAAACGAUGAUAACUCGCUGUUUGCGAUAUACCGCAAGUGGCCAAGCGAAAGCGUUAAGUUAUCCACCUGGGGAGUACGCCGGCAACGGUGAAACUCAAAGGAAUUGACGGGGGCCCGCACAAGCGGAGGAACAUGUGGUUUAAUUCGAUGAUACGCGAGGAACCUUACCCGGGCUUGAAAUGCAUCUGACGUACUGUGAAAGCAGUAUUCUAGCAAUAGCAGAUGUGUAGGUGCUGCAUGGUUGUCGUCAGCUCGUGCCGUGAGGUGUCGGCUUAAGUGCCAUAACGAGCGCAACCCUUAUCAAUAGUUACCAUCAGGUCAAGCUGGGGACUCUAUUGAGACUGCCACCGUAAGGUGUGAGGAAGGUGGGGAUGACGUCAAAUCAGCACGGCCCUUACGUCCGGGGCGACACACGUGUUACAAUGGGGGGUACAGAGGGCCGCUACCUGGCAACAGGAUGCGAAUCUCAUAAAGCCCCUCUCAGUUCGGAUCGGAGUCUGCAACUCGACUCCGUGAAGCUGGAUUCGCUAGUAAUCGCGCAUCAGCCAUGGCGCGGUGAAUACGUUCCCGGGCCUUGUACACACCGCCCGUCAAGCCAUGGAAGCCGGGGGUACCUGAAGUACGUAACCGCAAGGAGCGUCCUAGGGUAAAACUGGUAACUGGGGCUAAGUCGUAACAAGGUAGCC
rnacentral:rRNA from 1 species